rnacentral:rRNA from 2 species
CGCGUGCGGGGUGCUAUACAUGCAAGUCGAGCGAACUGAUUAGAAGCUUGCUUCUAUGACGUUAGCGGCGGACGGGUGAGUAACACGUGGGCAACCUGCCUGUAAGACUGGGAUAACUCCGGGAAACCGGAGCUAAUACCGGAUAACAUUUUUUCUUGCAUAAGAGAAAAUUGAAAGAUGGUUUCGGCUAUCACUUACAGAUGGGCCCGCGGUGCAUUAGCUAGUUGGUGAGGUAACGGCUCACCAAGGCAACGAUGCAUAGCCGACCUGAGAGGGUGAUCGGCCACACUGGGACUGAGACACGGCCCAGACUCCUACGGGAGGCAGCAGUAGGGAAUCUUCCGCAAUGGACGAAAGUCUGACGGAGCAACGCCGCGUGAGUGAUGAAGGCUUUCGGGUCGUAAAACUCUGUUGUUAGGGAAGAACAAGUACAAGAGUAACUGCUUGUACCUUGACGGUACCUAACCAGAAAGCCACGGCUAACUACGUGCCAGCAGCCGCGGUAAU